GGAGGUAAUUCAGGCAGUAGCUCUGUAUUACUAAAGUUCCCACGUUCAGCAAUGAUAGUUCUUCACACCGGGAACUCUCAAUACAGAGAGGAAAGUCGGGACACCCAUCCGCCAGCCGGCGGAAAGGGUAGCGGGUAACGCCCGUCGUCCGUAAGGAUAGAGGUGCGAGCAGUGACGUCCGCGAUUCGCAAGAAUCGGGAGAGCCCGAUCCUAACGUAGAAGGCUCAAUCUGGCUAUAGGGAUAAGAAAGCCAGAAUGAAACGGCUAAAUCCUUACCUGGGUGCAAGGCCGUACCUGCCAGUGCUUCGCACUGGAGUUUUCAAGGCACAAUUCUCAAUUUUCAUUGAAUUUUCAAUGUUUCAUUGAUUCAUUGGAAUUUGAUUGGAAAUUAGAAAUUGAAAAUUGGAAAUUCCAAUGCGGAGCAUUGGUGUGGAGUGCCGCAUGAGUCCGAGAGCAAUCGAGGACCUAGAUAAAUUACUGUCCUAGACAGAAUCCCGCUUACGAAUUACCUCCAAAA
rnacentral:RNase_P_RNA from 1 species